CUCGCCCAUCCCAUCCCCCCUUUUCUGUGCUGUGCCUGUGUUAAGACUUAAAAGACUUUGGCCAACCGUCAGAUAAUAGAGAAUGGUCACAUCUGGGCUUGAGACUAUUUGGUAGGCUUAACACAUGAACUUGAAUUAAAUUGAAAAAAAAAAGAAAAAGAAAAAAGAUUAGGAGCCUAGCAGAAUACGAAUCCAGAAUCUCUUAGUCUUUAGGCUAAAAGUUAAGAUAAAUAAUUAUUUUAUAUAAUUCUAAUUUCAAAUCCCACUAGCUGCUUAGUUUUUUCUAAUUUUUACUCGUUUAAUUCCAGUCCAUGUCUUUACCCUAUUAAGGUCUAAUUUUGUAACGUGGUGGCUAAAAACAUCAUUUUUAUACUAUAGAAGGUUUAAAAAUUUUAAAAACACUUUCAAUCUUUCCUUCUCCAAUGCUCUACAAUUGCUGGUGCAACUGCCGCCGGAAAAGCAUGUAGCCACAUGCUUUUCUAGUAGCGAUUGCAAUCGCAGUUUUAGUGUAAAAGAAGGAAAAAUUGUAAGCACUUUUGAAUUUUUUUACUCUUCCAUAGUAUAAAAAUAAUACUUUUUAGCUACCACGUUACUAAACUAGGCCUAAAAGUUCUUGGAGUAGACUUUCAAAGAAUGGUAUUAUAUUUUCAACACUAAUAUGGUAUGUAGCUCUAAGACCUCUCAAUUUUAAGAAUAGUACUUUUUGCUUUGACUUUUAAAGAACAGUGUUUUAGCAUUAUAUUUUCAAUACUAAUAUGGUAUGCAGCUCUAAGACCUCUCAAUUUUAAGAGGUUCUGGCAAUAUUAUCUGCUAUUAAAUAGUGUAAAUUUAUGUUUGAUGUCUUUACUGUUAAUAUUUUUUGUCAGCUCAUGUGGCGUGGUUUAGCUAAUAUCCACCGUGUGCAUAACUAGGAUCGUCAGAGCAUUUUGAAGCUGUUUUCUGUCGGUUGGUGAACAUGCUCAAGUGCUGUUCAUUCAGUGUAAUCUCAUUGGUUCCAAUUUUCAGAUUCAUUCUGAAAAUGUUAGUUAUGUCUAUUCUGUUUUUGACCUAUCGUUACUGAUGCCUAAUUCUCGUCCUUUGUUUUUCUUGUUGUUUUCACUCAUCAUACCAAAUCAUUUGGAUGAGUAUACACACUGCUUCUUCUGAUUGUGCUUUCUACCUGGGUUCUCAUCAUACCAAAUCAUUUGGAUGAGUAUACCAAAUCAUUUGGUUUUCUUCUGAUGUGAUCGUAUCUUUGCUAGUUUAGUCUGUCCGCAUACAUAGCUCGCGCUAUUUUUUUUUUGCUUUUUUAUUUUUCUUGAGAAAUUUCCAAAUUCAUCCUCUUCAUCCACAUAGAAUCCUGGUUUGUCUACAAGUUUUGUUCGUCAGCUUAAUGUUUCUUGAUUAUCCUAAGUGUGUCAUCUUUGGUAGCCUUUAAUCUUCCAUUUCAGCAGAAAAUUGACCUUUUUCUUCUAUAAGAUGGCGAUCAAUGUUAUGAAAUAGGAUGAUGUUGAUAAUUUAUUCAAUAUCAAACCGCGGUUGACAAACUUGAUAUUUCUAGUUCUCUACAUGUGGUCUCUUCCUUUACAGCUUUAUCUCCUUUUGUCUCAUUUUUCUAUUUGAGAGUCUAAAACUGCUAUUUAUGAGCAUUUAACGUGCUUCUGGUCGAUAGCAUUGUAACCAAUUUGCUUUUCCUUUCGUAGUGCAAUGCCAAUGUCAUACUUCCUCCAUUGGUGGUGCAUUGUAUCUGAGUUUGCAUGUGUCUAUAUUACUUGCAUCUUUUGGACAUGGAUUGAUCUUAUUGCUGUCAGGAAAUCCGUCUUGUAUGGCUUCUCUCAGAGGAAUGGUUGGCCUCCGCAUCCUGCUUGGAAAUAGGAAAAAAUAUGUAUACUGGAUUGCCACGAUUAGAUCGAUGGACCAUUAUGUCGCUUCACAUUUAUUUGAUUACUUUUUAUUUCGUUA